GGGUAAAAAUAAACAGGGGGGGCGAAUAAUUCUGACUUUAACUGUAUAAAGGGUGUCAUUUAGCUGGUUUUGCUGUAAACCUAUUUUCUGUACAAUUUACAACACUUAUAUUGGCAUAGCAGGUAGAUGUGUUGCAGUGUGUAAGGUAUAAAGGAACGUUUUCAUACAGCUUUCAUGCAUAAUUACAAUUCUGAAUGUUUGAUUUUCUGUUUCAGAAACCUGCUCGACAGGGACACAUUCUCCAAAUCAGAUCCAAUCUGCGUGCUUUACACCCAAGGCAUUGGCAACAAAGAAUGGAGAGAGUUUGGGCGGACGGAAGUUAUCGACAACACUUUGAACCCAGAUUUUGUGCGGAAAUUCAUAUUGGACUACUUCUUUGAAGAACGACAGAACUUGAGGUUUGAUCUGUAUGACGUCGAUUCCAAGAGCAGCAACCUCUCAAAACAUGAUUUUCUGGGCCAGGCUUGCUGUACAUUGGGAGAGGUGGUGGGUUCGUUGGGCAGCCGUUUGGAGAAAAACCUGGGGUAAGACAGCAUGUUGAGUAUGGUUUGCUUCCUCCUUUCACAUCUUUCCAUUCUCAAUUAAACUUUUCUAUCAAACAAAAUAUAGUAUCAGUCGUCAGCUCUGCUGGCUGAGGCAUUUCAUGAGUAAGAUGAUGGAACUUCUUGGACAUUAUCUUCUUGGAAACACAAAACUACAUUCUACUUAAAAUAAUAAAGCCGCAUGUUUUAUUUAUUUAAAUACUAAUACAAAUGUAAAUACCUGUGUUUAGAAAAACCCAACAUUUUCUGCCAAUUU